rnacentral:rRNA from 1 species
UACGAAGGGUGCAAACGUUGCUCGGAAUUAUUGGGCGUAAAGCGCACGUAGGCGGCUUUGCAAGUCGGAUGUGAAAUCCCUCGGCUCAACCAAGGAAGUGCAUCCGAAACUGCAGAGCUUGAGUACUUAAGAGGAUCGCGGAAUUCCCGGUGUAGAGGUGAAAUUCGUAGAUAUCGGGAGGAACACCAGUGGCGAAGGCGGCACUCUGGGCCGGUACUGACGCUGAGGAGCGAAAGCGUGGGGAGCGAACAGG